CUAGUUGGUGAGGUAAUAGCUCACCAAGGCAUCGACGGGUAGCUGGUCUGAGAGGACGAUCAGCCACACUGGGACUGAGACACGGCCCAGACUCCUACGGGAGGCAGCAGUGGGGAAUCUUGCGCAAUGGGCGAAAGCCUGACGCAGCAACGCCGCGUGGAGGACGAAUGCUUUCUGAGUUGUAAACUCCUUUCAGCAGGGACGAUUGUGACGGUACCUGCAGAAGAAGCACCGGCCAACUACGUGCCAGCAGCCGCGGUGAUACGUAGGGUGCAAGCGUUAUCCGGAUUUAUUGGGCGUAAAGAGCUCGUAGGCGGUUUGAUUAGUCGGGUGUGAAACCUCCAGGCUUAACCUGGAGCCGCCACUCGAUACUGUCAUGACUAGAAUUCGGUAGGGGACCACGGAAUUCCUGGUGUAGCGGUGAAAUGCGCAGAUAUCAGGAGGAACACCAGCAGCGAAGGCGGUGGUCUGGGCCGACAUUGACGCUGAGGAGCGAAAGCGUGGGGAGCGAACAGGAUUAGAUACCCUGGUAGUCCACGCCGUAAACGUUGGGCACUAGGUGUGGGGACUAUUCAACGGUUUCCGUGCCGCAGCUAACGCAUUAAGUGCCCCG
rnacentral:rRNA from 1 species